UAGGAGAUGGUAUAAGGGAUGUGCGGGGGGUUUUGAUCUCUCAGGUGUAGGUUCAAUUCCUACUUUCCUAA
rnacentral:tRNA from 1 species